CGAUAUGCUUUGGGGAGCUGUAAGUAAGCUAUGAUCCAGAGAUUUCCGAAUGGGGGAACCCAAUAUCUUUUAUAGGAUAUUACUUUUCAGUGAAUACAUAGCUGAUUAGAGGUAGACGCAGAGAACUGAAACAUCUUAGUACCUGCAGGAAGAGAAAGAAAAUUCGAUUCCCUGAGUAGCGGCGAGCGAAACGGGAAGAGCCCAAACCAACAAGCUUGCUUGUUGGGGUUGUAGGACUCCAAUAUGGUAGUCUGUUAGUAUAGUUGAAGGAUUUGGAAAAUUCCGCUAAAGAGGGUGAAAGCCCCGUAGACGAAAUGCUAACAACACCUAGGAGGAUCCUGAGUACGGCGGAACACGAGAAAUUCCGUCGGAAUCCGCGGGGACCAUCCCGCAAGGCUAAAUACUCCCUAGUGACCGAUAGUGAACCAGUACCGUGAGGGAAAGGUGAAAAGCACCCCGGAAGGGGAGUGAAAUAGAUCCUGAAACCGUGUGCCUACAACAAGUCAAAGCUCGUUAAUGAGUGAUGGCGUGCCUUUUGUAGAAUGAACCGGCGAGUUACGAUUGCAUGCGAGGUUAAGUCGAAGAGACGGAGCCGCAGCGAAAGCGAGUCUGAAUAGGGCGAAUGAGUAUGUAGUCGUAGACCCGAAACCAUGUGAUCUACCCAUGUCCAGGUUGAAGGUGCGGUAAAACGCACUGGAGGACCGAACCCACGUACGUUGAAAAGUGCGGGGAUGAGGUGUGGGUAGCGGAGAAAUUCCAAACGAACUUGGAGAUAGCUGGUUCUCUCCGAAAUAGCUUUAGGGCUAGCCUCGGAAUUGAGAAUGAUGGAGGUAGAGCACUGUUUGGACUAGGGGCCCAUCUCGGGUUACCGAAUUCAGAUAAACUCCGAAUGCCAUUCAUUUAUAUCCGGGAGUCAGACUGCGAGUGAUAAGAUCCGUAGUCGAAAGGGAAACAGCCCAGACCACCAGCUAAGGUCCCAAAAUAUAUGUUAAGUGGAAAAGGAUGUGGGGUUGCACAGACAACUAGGAUGUUGGCUUAGAAGCAGCCACCAUUUAAAGAGUGCGUAAUAGCUCACUAGUCGAGUGACCCUGCGCCGAAAAUGUACCGGGGCUAAACAUAUUACCGAAGCUGUGGACUACACCAUUAGGUGUAGUGGUAGGAGAGCGUUCUAAGGGCGUUGAAGGUCGAUCGUGAGGACGGCUGGAGCGCUUAGAAGUGAGAAUGCCGGUAUGAGUAGCGAAAGACAGGUGAGAAUCCUGUCCACCGUAUGACUAAGGUUUCCUGGGGAAGGCUCGUCCGCCCAGGGUUAGUCGGGACCUAAGCCGAGGCCGAUAGGCGUAGGCGAUGGACAACAGGUUGAUAUUCCUGUACCAGUUGUUUUUGUUUGAGCAAUGGAGGGACGCAGUAGGCUAAGGAAUGCAUGCGAUUGGAAGUGCAUGUCCAAGCAAUGAGUCUUGAGUAGAGUUAAAUGCUUUACUCUUUAAGGACAAGUUGUGACGGGGAGCGAAAUAAUAGUAGCGA
rnacentral:rRNA from 1 species